rnacentral:rRNA from 1 species
CCCUUAGAUGUUCUGGGCCGCACGCGCGCUACACUGACGGGGACAACGAGUUUAACCUUCACUGGAAAGUGCUGGGUAAUCUUUUGAGCCCUCGUCGUGCUGGGGCUAGAUCUUUGUAAUUUUCGAUCUUAAACGAGGAAUUCCUAGUAAGCGUGAUUCAUCAGAUCGCGUUGAUUACGUCCCUGCCCUUUGUACACACCGCCCGUCGCUACUACCGAUUGAACGGUUUAGUGAAUGCUCGGGAUUGGUGGAUUAUGGCGGCAACGCCCUUUUCCACUGAGAACUUGUGUGAACUUGAUCGUUUAGAGGAAGUAAAANUCGUAACA